rfam:Oryza glumipatula chromosome 5, whole genome shotgun sequence.
CGUAAUUCUUGGUUUUUCAUAUCCAACGUUUGACCGUCUGUCUUAUAUAAUUUUUUUUAUAAUUAGUAUUUUUAUUAUUGUUAGAUGAUAAAACAUGAAUAAUACUUUAUGUAUGACUUAUCUUUUUAAUAUUUUUAUAAUUUUUUUCAAAUAAGACGGACGGUCAAAUGUUAGACACGGAAACUCAGGAAUUAAG